ACAUGAAGAGAAUGAGAAGCUUUUUGACAGAGUUACAGAGAAGUCACGAUUAGGAAGUGCUCCACAGGCUUCAAGCCCUUCAGCAAACAAGCCAGCUAAUGGUCAAGGAAGGGAGAUAGGCAGGAGUGACAGCAGCAAAAGUCGAUCACCAGAUGUGUUUGCAUCACCAGUGUCUCAGGAUAAAACUGGAAACAGUGGAGCUAUUGUAAAAUCAAGCAAUGAGCUAGCAAAAACUACACCUGCUGGGGAGUACCUUACGUCUGCACUAAUGGAUUUUGAUCCUGACCAGUUUGAGGGAUUUGUAGCAAUAGUUGAUGGUGCUAAUAAGCUUUUGAUGCUGGUAAUUAGUACCAUCCCAACAUAUAAUAUUAUUACUGGAUUUACUAUACCUUUUGUUGUGGCAACUAAGCUAGUUUUGCUUCUUCCCUUAUAUUGUCCUCGCCUGCCCUUGUACGGUUCAUGCACCCAGAGUGAUCAGUGGGUUCAAACUUCAAACCCCGCUUCAAGUUUCCCAGGAUCAGAGUGUCCACAGAUUUCAAACCCUGCUUCCAGUUUCCCAGACAUGACCUGCUCUAAAAUCUGCCUGAGGACAAGCUCUACACUAGGGUUAGCUCCAAUGCUCCAUUGAGCACAAUAUUGUUGCAGUGCUUCCACACGGUCCAGUUUCCCAGGAUCAUAGCAUUCAUUCUCUUGAUCCCUUCUACCUUGGGUAUUUGAUUUUCUAGUUUGAAUUGUCCUCUUUCUCCUUACAAUACACACAUAUGUAAUUGCUAUAUCAGUGGGGUCUGUGUGUGUUUUGCAACUCUUCUAUUAAUGCAAUGAUACACAACUU